CAUUACCGAGUUUUCAACUCCCAAACCCCUGUGAACAUACCUCGACGUUGCUUCGGCGGGACCGCCCCGGCCAGCCCCUCGCGGGCGGACCGGAACCAGGCGCCCGCCGGAGGACCACAAACUCUUGUUUCCUAAUAGUGGCAAUACUCUGAGUCUAACAAAAAAAUAAAUCAAAACUUUCAACAACGGAUCUCUUGGCUCUGGCAUCGAUGAAGAACGCAGCGAAAUGCGAUAAGUAAUGUGAAUUGCAGAAUUCAGUGAAUCAUCGAAUCUUUGAACGCACAUUGCGCCCGCCAGUAUUCUGGCGGGCAUGCCUGUUCGAGCGUCAUUUCAACCCUCAAGCCCCAGCGGCUUGGUGUUGGGGACCGGCCCCGCGCCGCCCCCGAAAUGCAGUGGCGACCUCGCCGCAGCCUCCCCUGCGUAGUAGCACAAACCUCGCACCGGAGCGCGGAGACGGUCACGCCGUUAAACGCCCAACUUUCUUAGAGUUGACCUCGGAUCAGGUAG
rnacentral:rRNA from 1 species